rnacentral:rRNA from 1 species
AUUGAACGCUGGCGGCAGGCCUAACACAUGCAAGUCGAACGAGUGGCGGACUGGUGAGUAAUGUCUGGGAAACUGCCCGAUGGCGGGGUCUAACUACUGGAAACGGUCUCUCAUACCGCAUCCCAUCGGAUGUGCCCAGAUGGGAUUAGCUAGUAGGUGGGGUAAUGGCUCACCUAGGCGACGAUCCCUAGCUGGUCUGAGAGGAUGACCAGACACACGGGAACUGAGACACGGUCCAGACGCCGACGGGAGGCAGCAGUGGGGAAUAUUGAACAAUGGGCGAAAGCCUGAUGCAGCCAUGCCGCGUGUAUGAAGAAGGCCUUCGGGUUGUAAAGUACUUUCAGCGAGGAGGCGUUACUCGCAGAAGAAGCACCGGCUAACUCCGUGCCAGCAGCCGCGGUAAUAC